GAUGAACGCUGGCGGCGUGCUUAACACAUGCAAGUCGAACGAUGAAGCCCAGCUUGCUGGGUGGAUUAGUGGCGAACGGGUGAGUAACACGUGAGUAACCUGCCCUUAACUCUGGGAUAAGCCUGGGAAACUGGGUCUAAUACCGGAUAGGAGCGUCCACCGCAUGGUGGGUGUUGGAAAGGUUUAUCGGUUUUGGAUGGACUCGCGGCCUAUCAGCUUGUUGGUGAGGUAAUGGCUCACCAAGGCGACGACGGGUAGCCGGCCUGAGAGGGUGACCGGCCACACUGGGACUGAGACACGGCCCAGACUCCUACGGGAGGCAGCAGUGGGGAAUAUUGCACAAUGGGCGCAAGCCUGAUGCAGCGACGCCGCGUGAGGGAUGACGGCCUUCGGGGUGUAAACCUCUUUCAGUAGGGAAGAAGCGAAAGUGACGGUACCUGCAGAAGAAGCACCGGCUAACUACG
rnacentral:rRNA from 1 species